CCUACGGGAGGCAGCAGUGGGGAAUAUUGCACAAUGGGGGGAACCCUGAUGCAGCGACGCCGCGUGAGUGAAGAAGUAUUUCGGUAUGUAAAGCUCUAUCAGCAGGGAAGAAAAUGACGGUACCUGCUUAAGAAGCCCCGGCUACCUACGUGCCAGCAGCGGCGGUUAUACGUAGGGGGCAAGCGUUAUCCGGAUUUACUGGGUGGAAAGGGAGCGUAGACGGCAGCAGAAGUCUGGAGUGAAAUGCCGGGGCUUAACCCCGGAACUGCUUUGGAAACUGUGCAGCUAGAGUGCAGGAGAGGGAAGCGGAAUUCCUAGUGUAGCGGUGAAAUGCGUAGAUAUUAGGAGGAACACCAGUGGCGAAGGCGGCUUACUGGACUGUAACUGACGUUGAGGCUCGAAAGCGUGGGGAGCAAACAGGAUUAGAUACCCUGGUAGUC
rnacentral:rRNA from 1 species